rnacentral:misc_RNA from 1 species
AAUAAUGCCUUCUUCUCCACCACUGAAAUCAGAUAAAAAUAACAACAUUCUUAACUAUUUUUUUUUAUUACUUAUUUAUUAAAAGUGUGGGUUGUAUCCAAUGAUUAAAAGAGCAUUUAAAAUUCUUACUUUCACCUGAUUUAGUCUGGUUAAAAAGAUGAUAACUCUUUUUAUCAAACAAAAUUUAACUCAAUUAGAAAUCAUUUCAGAAUUAUUUAUUUUAAAUUGCUUUAAAAUUUUUAAUUUUACUGUAUAAAAGAUAGUACGAAAA